UGUGUAUUUUGGAAGUGAUCUGAACACUAGU
rnacentral:piRNA from 1 species